rnacentral:rRNA from 1 species
UACGAGUGCCCCGAGCGUUAUCCGGAAUCAUUGGGCGUAAAGGGUGUGUAGGUGGUUUCGUUAGUCUUCUGUUAAAGCUCCCGGCUUAACCGGGAAAGUGCAGAGGAAACGGCGAGACUAGAGGAUGUGAGAGGUCUGUGGAACUCAUGGUGUAGGGGUGAAAUCCGUUGAUAUCAUGGGGAACACCGAAAGCGAAGGCAGCAGACUGGCGCAUUCCUGACACUGAAACACGAAAGCGUGGGUAGCGAAUGGG